CAUCCGAGUUUCUACAGUAAGCAGCCUCCUUCCGGACUCCUACAAGAACCGGACUCCGUCCGAACUUCUACAGCGAAUGGAUUCCAGACAAACUUCUACAAUGGACGGGCUCCAGCAGUCAGAUUUCUACAGUGACCGACUGUCUCCGGUGUCUUCUGUACCUCUCCAGCCAUCAACCUUCAACAGCACCAAUCAGACUUCAACAGUGCCAACCAGACCC
rnacentral:lncRNA from 1 species